rnacentral:rRNA from 1 species
GACGAACCGUGCGAACGUUGUUCGGAUUCACUGGGCUUAAAGGGCGCGUAGGCGGUCGACCAAGUCUGGGGUGAAAUCUUUCGGCUUAACCGGAAAAGUGCCCCCGAUACUGGCCGGCUAGAGGGAGAUAGGGGCAUGUGGAACUUCCGGUGGAGCGGUGAAAUGCGUAGAUAUCGAGAGGAACACCUGCGGCGAAGGCGGGUUGCUGGGCCGACACUGACGCUGAGGCGCGAAAGCCAGGGGAGCGAACGGG